GAUGAACGCUAGCGGGAGGCUUAAUACAUGCAAGUCGUACGGUAACAGGGGAGCUUGCUCCUGCUGACGAGUGGCGGACGGGUGAGUAACGCGUACACGAUCUACCCAUAAGUCUGGGAUAGUCACUGGAAACGGUGAAUAAUACCGGAUGUGAAUAUAUUGCUACAUGGUUAUAUAUUUAAAGGCUAGACUGCUUAUGGAUGAGUGUGCGUCCUAUUAGUUAGUUGGUGAGGUAACGGCUCACCAAGGCGAUGAUAGGUAGGGGGCGUGAGAGCGUGGACCCCCACACGGGUACUGAGACACGGACCCGACUCCUACGGGAGGCAGCAGUAAGGAAUAUUGGACAAUGGGCGAGAGCCUGAUCCAGCCAUCCCGCGUGCAGGAUGAAGGCCCUCUGGGUUGUAAACUGCUUUUAUAAGGGAAGAAUAGCACUUAAUGAUAAGUGUGUGACGGUACCUUAGGAAUAAGCACCGGCUAAACUCCGUGCCAGCAG
rnacentral:rRNA from 1 species